rnacentral:rRNA from 1 species
AUUGAACGCUGGCGGCAGGCCUAACACAUGCAAGUCGAGCGGAUGAAGGGAGCUUGCUCCUGGAAUCAGCGGCGGACGGGUGAGUAAUGCCUAGGAAUCUGCCUGGUAGUGGGGGGUAACGUCCGGAAACGGGCGCUAAUACCGCAUACGUCCUGAGGGAGAAAGUGGGGGAUCUUCGGACAUCACGCUAUCAGAUGAGCCUAGGUCGGAUUAGCUGGUUGGUGGGGUAAAGGCCUACCAAGGCGACGAUCCGUAACUGGUCUGAGAGGAUGAUCAGUCACACUGGAACUGAGACACGGUCCAGACUCCUACGGGAGGCAGCAGUGGGGAAUAUUGGACAGUGGGCGAAAGCCUGAUCCAGCCAUGCCGCGUGUGUGAAGAAGGUCUUCGGAUUGUAAAGAACUUUAAGUUGGGAGGAAGGGCAGUAAGUUAAUACCUUGCUGUUUUGACGUUACCAACAGAAUAAGCACCGGCUAACUUCGUG